CACACAGUUUGACCCUCCCCAGUUUCGCGUACGACGCGGCCCUAAAAAUGACGAAGGCUAGGAUUAAACUACUUAGCGACGGUGACAUGGUUUUAAUGAUUCGAAGUUCGGUUCGCAGGGGGGAUCACCCAAGGUGUUCACCGGUUCGCGCAAGCGAACAACCCAUUAUAUCCCAAUACGUAUAGACCUUCGGAGCCCAUCUCGUAUAUUCAAUAUCUAGAUGUAGCCGCACUUUACGGUCAUACAAUGUGUCGUCCUCUGUGAUAGAGAGCUCCCCGCGUCGCCCUCUAUCCCGUUAACUCAUCAGAGGGCACCAAGCACGGUUCAUCUGCCCGCCGUAUUGACAGCUCGAAUUCAUUUUCUCCCUUACAUCCCUGUAACUGCGCAGGCAGAUCAACCCUGGGGCGCCCACUAUAAAACACCGAUUAGCCGCUGCUCCGAUCGCAGUUCAGAUUUCAUCCCUUAACCUUUUUAGAGUUUUCUCCCCGACGCUCGUCGCCACCUUCGCCCAGCCACGUACGGCUCAUCGCUCGCUCGAUCUCUCGUCCUGCCACGAACGGCUAUAGCUAUCCUCACACGGUGAGUUCUUAUCCUCGCCUGGCAGGCCCUUACUUGCACGGCAAAACACUUCGGUACUCGGUACCAUAUAUCAGCGUACGACGCUCGCCCGCCAAGUGUGUGUGUUCUACUUAGUAGCUUUCACUUGUAGUUCUCUCACUUGUCGUUCUUUCACUUGUAGUUCUCUCACUUGUAGUUCUUUCACUUGUAGUUCUUUCACUUGUAGUUCUCUCACCUUGUAGUUCUAUCAUUAUAUCUUAGCCAUCGAUCAGUUGCGUUUUCUUUAGUUUUCCCUCACUCUCGUGAGAAGGUGGUUGCUGAUCCUGGACUAGCCCGGAUCGGCUCCCAACACCUCUACCCUACGAUGAUUAUAAAUGGUAGAUAAGGACGAAUUCGUAUCGUUGGAAAAGAAUAUCACAUUCGUCCCCGACGACGCCCAUGAAGGCUUCAUUGUUGAUUGCGAUUUAAUUUAUUCAGAGCAUUUGUAUGACCAUCAUCCCGAUGGAAAAAAUUCUAAUUUUUUUUUUUUUUUUUAGAAAGAAAAUUGGAUAAUUGAAAAAUAUAGAGGUAGUAUAGAAUACGUGAAUGAUGGAGGUAAUUUAGAGAAGAUUAAAGAAAGUAGAAUGUAGCUAUACACGUAAGGAGUUGUUU
rnacentral:lncRNA from 1 species